GGGGGGCGCGGACACGCGUGGUGUGCGCGGUCCCCGUGCAGCCCGCCCUGCCGCAGGCUGCCCUCCACCCCCAGCCCCAGCCCCAGCCCCCAGCCCGUCCCUACUGCUCAUAUCCGAGCAGAUAGACCCCGGCCCCACCCUCCCGUGCUGAGCCUCCUUUCUGCCGGGAAGUUCGUCCGGGAGUCAAACAUCGCUGCCCUCCGGUUGCGCCACGGAGGGGGAGCCAGGAUAGGAAGCUGCCGUGAAAUCAGGAAGCUGAGCGCGCCGGGCCCCGGAUCCGAUCAGAAAAGGCUUCCACCCGCUCCCCUGAGGGAUCCCACGCUGAGGGACUGAACCCCGCACCCCAGCCGCGCUCACCACCCCCACCCUCUCGCCUGGGCUGCUCUGACCUGGGGGAGUCUUGCUCUGUCGCCCAGGCUGGAGUGCAGUGGCGCGAUCUUGGCUCACUGCAACCUCUGCUUCCCAGGUUCAAGCAAUUCUCCUGCCUCAGCCUCCUGAGUAGCUGGGAUUACAGACGCGCACUACCACGCCCGGCUAAUUUUUGUAUUUUUAGUAGAGACAGGGUUUCACCAUGUUGGUUAGGCUGGUGUUGAACUCCUGACCUUGUGAUCUGCCCACCUUGGCCUCCAAAAGUACUGGGAUUACAGGCGUGAGCCACCACACCCGGCCCAAAGAUCUAUUUUUUAAGCUAGAUGGCAGGUACAUGAGUAUGUAUUAUAUAGCUUUUUAUAAUUUUAUCAUUUUUUAUGUCUAAUACUUAAUAAAACAAGCAAAAAUGUAAGCAGUACAA